ACGUCAACGGAUAAUGAUUUGAACCUCACUGAUGGAAACGCGCUUCAUGGAAACAAGUCGAGAUAUUUAAUUCCCUCUAGCGGAGAAGGAUUAUAGUGGACUGUAUCGAGGAAGGAAUCAACAGCAGCGUCCGACAUGGCUGCUCCAACGUUACAACAGCCCAGUUUCCUGCUGGCUAAUCUGAGAAACGACUCGACCACCAAACCUCUCCUCCACCGGUGCCAGGAUCUGGUGAAAAUCAUCGAUGAUUAUCCUG